GAGGGAACGGUGAGAUCGGACAGAGGGGUUCUGGCUGGAGAGAGUGGUCCUAGAGGCCUGCUUGGUCCUAGAGGAUCCCCUGGGACUGGUGGACAGCGUGGUCUUGCUGGGCUGGACGGCCAAGCUGGUCCCAAAGGAAACCAGGUGAGA